UACAGAGGGUGCGAGCGUUAUUCGGAAUUACUGGGCGUAAAGCGCGCGUAGGCGGCUUUGCAAGUCGGGUGUGAAAUCCCCAGGCUUAACCUGGGAACUGCAUUCGAGACUGCAUUGCUAGAGUAUGGGAGAGGGAUGUGGAAUUCCAGGUGUAGCGGUGAAAUGCGUAGAUAUCUGGAGGAACACCGGUGGCGAAGGCGGCAUCCUGGACCGGUAUUGACGCUGAGGCGCGAAGGCCAGGGGAGCAAACGGG
rnacentral:rRNA from 1 species